rnacentral:rRNA from 1 species
UACGUAGGUGGCAAGCGAUACUCGGAAUCACUAGGCGUAAAGCGCAGGUAGGCGGUUUGGUAAGUCUCUUGUGAAAGCUCCCGGCUCAACUGGGAGAGGUCAAGGGAAACUACCAGGCUGGAGUUCGGCAGGGGAGACUGGAAUUCCUGGUGUAGCGGUGAAAUGCGCAGAUAUCUGGAGGAACACCGGUGGCGAAGGCGGCAUCCUGGACCAAUUCUGACGCUGAGGAGCGAAAGCCAGGGGAGCAAACGGG